UACAGAGGUCCCAAGCGUUGUUCGGAUUCACUGGGCGUAAAGGGUGCGUAGGCGGUCGGGUAAGUCUGACGUGAAAUCUUCAAGCUCAACUUGGAAACUGCGUCGGAUACUAUUCGGCUAGAGGAAUGGAGGGGAGACUGGAAUACUUGGUGUAGCAGUGAAAUGCGUAGAUAUCAAGUGGAACACCAGUGGCGAAGGCGAGUCUCUGGACAUUUCCUGACGCUGAGGCACGAAAGCCAGGGGAGACGAAACGGGAUAGAUAC
rnacentral:rRNA from 1 species